GCAAAGAGGGACGGGGGUGGGGCUGAGGCUGCCAGGCAAGAUGAAGCCGUGAGUGCAGAGCCGUCCCGAGCCUGCAGGUGGUGCGCCGUUCCCCCCCCCCCCCCCCCCCCCCCCCCGCCUUCUCGGCCGCCGUUGUACAGCGGGCUCUCAGCUGGGAGAGGCGGAACAAGAAGCGGGCUCUCAGCUGGGAGAGGCGGAACAAGGGGUCACCAUGGCGGGCGAACUCGAGGGAUCCAAGCCCCUGAGCGGCCUGCUGAGCGGCUUGGCCCAAAGCACCUUUCAUGGGCACACAGGCAUCACGGAGGAGCUCCUGCGGAGCCAGCUUUACUCAGAGGUGCCUCCUGAGGAAUUCCGCCCCUUCCUGGAAAAGAUGCGGGGGCUUCUGAAGUCUAUUGCAUAUGCAGACAUGGAUUUCAACCAAUUAGAGGCAUUCUUGACUGCUCAAACCAAAAAACAAGGUGGAAUUACAGCUGAUCAAGCAGCAGUCAUUUCCAAAUUCUGGAAAAGCCACAAGACAAAAAUCAAGGAGAGCUUAAUCAAUCAAAGUCGAUGGGAAAACAGUCUGAAAACCAUGAAUUGGAGAGUAGAUUUGAAGUCUCAGUCAAAACACCUCGACCAAAUUAAUGUUCCUGUUGCUAUUGUGGAACUAGAACUGGGGAAGAGUGGACAGGUUCUCUCUGCUGCCUUAUCAGUGACCAUGGACUUCAUCGUCAUCCUUAUGCAAUAACUUUCAGAGCUAGAUAGCCAGCUCUAGAUUCUCUCUUAAGUUCCACUUCCAAGUUAUUGCCUAUUGAACAUUUUGAACUCUGUGUCCUGGAGCCAUCUCAAGCUCAUCAUGCCCAAAAGAGAACUUAUUUGACUUUGUUCAGCAAGCGUAGAGUGUGAUAAAAUUCUCCCGUAUUAUAUAUUUUCAUUUAAAUGGUAUGUAUAUUCAUCUUAUUUUUAAAAUCUGUCAUUUAAAGUUAAAGAUUUUCCUUGAGUGUCCUCAGUAGGUUUGCAGAGGAACAAAUGUUGCCUAGUAACUAUUUCAACAUCAUAUCAUAUAGAUGUAAUCAAAUGAACAUUUUUAUUUUUUUAUAA